rnacentral:misc_RNA from 1 species
GAUGAAGAACGCAGCGAAAUGCGAUACGUAAUGUGGAUUGCAGAAUUCAGUGAAUCAUCGAGUCUUUGAACGCACAUUGCGCCCCCUGGUAUUCCGGGGGGCAUGCCUGUCCGAGCGUCAUUGCUGCCCUCAAGCACGGCUUGUGUGUUGGGCCUCCGUCCUCCUCCCGGGGGACGGGCCCGAAAGGCAGCGGCGGCACCGCGUCCGGUCCUCGAGCGUAUGGGGCUUCGUCACCCGCUCUUGUAGGCCCGGCCGGCGCUUGCCGACACAUCAAUCUUUUUUCCAGGUUGACCUCGGAUCAGGUAGGGAUACCCGCUGAACUUAAGCAUAUCAAUAAGCGGAGGA